UACGUAGGGUGCAAGCGUUAAUCGGAAUUACUGGGCGUAAAGCGUGCGCAGGCGGUUAUGCAAGACAGAGGUGAAAUCCCCGGGCUCAACCUGGGAACUGCCUUUGUGACUGCAUGGCUAGAGUACGGUAGAGGGGGAUGGAAUUCCGCGUGUAGCAGUGAAAUGCGUAGAUAUGCGGAGGAACACCGAUGGCGAAGGCAAUCCCCUGGACCUGUACUGACGCUCAUGCACGAAGGCGUGGGGAGCAAACAGGAUUAGAU
rnacentral:rRNA from 1 species